ensembl:lncRNA
ACUGCACAAAGCAGCUGAAAAUGUGACUUACUUUACCAGCUAAGAUUCUUAUUUUUAGCAACGACCUGGGAGCAAUUAGAGUUAACUGCCAGCCAAGAAAAACUGUUUUCACCUUGCCAGCUAAGGGAUACGAUCUAGCAAACUCUUCGUUACAGAAUCAUUCGUGGAGAAGCUGCUACACUAUAUUCCGCAGUGGAACAUGCGCGUCCAUCCCGAGAGCCAGAUCACACAGCAAACGUAAAGGAGCUGUUGGGACUAAACGGCUGGUCAGAACCCACAUCUGCCUAACCCUUCCUGACACCUUGGACGCCCUUCAACUUGCAUACCCAGAAGAUCUACGGCUGAUGACAUCGCCCUGAUGACAAAAGUGCCUGUACAUCCUGAGGACACUCAAAGAGUUUGGCAUGUCUGCAAAAACAUCUCACCAACUUCUACAGGAGCACCAUUAAGAGCAUCCACUCAGGCUGCUUUACUGCCUGGUAUGGCAGUGGCUCCGCUGCUGAUAACAAGGCCCUCCAGAGGGUGGUAAAGUCUGCAGAGCGGAUCAUCAGCUGCCAUCUCCUUUCCGUGCAAGGCAUCUACAAUACACAAUGCCUGAGGAAAGCACGGAACAUAAUAAAAGACUACAGCCACCCAGGCUAUGGUCUGUUCACACUGCUGCCAUCUGGUAGAUGUUACUGGAGCAUCAGGGCGCUUCCAAACUCACCAAAAAUGUUUUUCCCCAGGCCAUAAGGCUCCUCAAUCAGCAACACUGAUCUAUUGAAUGAACACAUCAUAUGCUCUGGUCACUUUCUAUGUACAUUCAAUGUACAUUAACACAUUUGAAUGUAUGCAUUUAUAG